CAGAACUUGAAGCAUGUGGGGGUGAUCCUGCAGAGGGGCAUGCUCAUCCUGCUCCUGUGUUGCUUCCCCUGCUGGGCACUCUUCAUCAAUACGGAGCACAUCCUGCUGCUCUUCAGGCAGGACCUGGAUGUGUCCAGGCUCACCCAGACCUAUGUCAUAAUCUUCAUUCCAGCUCUUCCCGCGGCCUUUCUUUAUGUAUUACAAGUUAAAUACUUGCUCAACCAGG